rnacentral:rRNA from 1 species
UACGUAGGGGGCAAGCGUUGUCCGGAAUUAUUGGGCGUAAAGCGCGCGCAGGCGGUGGUUUAAGUCGGGUGUAUAAACCCAGGGCUCAACUCUGGGACGCACCGGAAACUGGACGACUGGAGUGCAGAAGAGGAGAGUGGAAUUCCACGUGUAGCGGUGAAAUGCGUAGAGAUGUGGAGGAACACCAGUGGCGAAGGCGACUCUCUGGUCUGUCACUGACGCUGAGGCGCGAAAGCGUGGGGAGCAAACAGG